rnacentral:pre_miRNA from 1 species
CAAGUACUCCCUCCGUCCGAAAAUACUUAUCAUCAAAAUGAAUAAAAGGUGAUGUAUCUAGAUAUAUAUUAGUUCUAGAUACAUCUUUUUUAUCCAUUUUGAUGACAAGUAUUUUCGGAUGAAUGGAGUACAAA